GCCUGGUGGGCUACAGUCCAUGGGAUCGCAAAGAGUUGGACAUGAUUGAGCACCUAACACUUUUUUUUUCAGAUUAAUAUUGUGGAGAGGAGGGGAGAUUUUACUUUUGUUUUGCUUUGGAGUAAUUUGAAGUUCUACCUCAGUCCAGUUCUUUGUAGCAGCCCUUGCAACCCACUCUUGGUACUGAUGGCAAGCACAUUUCCUCAGUUAUUAUCUAUGUAUUGUGAGCCUUUUGUAAGGCUGUUCGCCUCUCGAGUUCCAUGAUGAAUUAGAUAGCCAUUCUCUUACUCUGAGCAUGUAACUAGAAGUAUGAUGAGUAUUGGAUGGAGUUCCCAGAGUUUCAGGAACGUGUCAGAGAAGUUGUUCUUUACACCAACUGUAUAGGGAGUGGCAAGUCAAGGACUUGGCAGAAGAUAGCAUUUAAGCUGAGACCUCGUUCUUGACUUGAGUCUUUUCUGAGAAGGGCCAAAAUGAUCACAGUGGCCUAUUUGGUAGCCUGAUUAUUUUUGUCAUAUUCAAGGAUAUUGUCAAUGGCUGAUUGGAUCUAGUUGGUAAGUCAGUAUUUAGGCUCUUCCUCAUUGGAAAUGUAUGUGAUAAACAAUUGGGAAAAGUUUGAAAUGUCUAUCUAUCUCUCUUGAUCUCAUUGAAUAUUCUUUACAUAUCACAUUCUGAAAAGUUCAAUGGGAUUGAAGGUUAUGGAAGGGAGUACAGGACUAAUAAACUGUAUAAAGGAAUGAAUCCCUUGCCUUUUUCCCCCUGGUACUUUGAGAGGCUAAAAUAAACUUCAUUUCCAGUAUUUGAUUGUUUAUUUACUAACCACCUUUUUGGAGGAAAUGUCAUAUUGUCUCAGAACAAUGGGGGUAUGAUUUCAGACAGUGAUUUGGGAUAGACCCAAUUUGGCUCAAGUUUUUUGCAUCUGUGAGUUCAGGUGAAAAGGCUAGUGGCACUGCCGAAAAUCCAAGAGAGCUGAAAAUGGAAAACUAAAACAAAAUAGUGUCCAUUUUGAGUCUAUACCAUGUCUCAAUUUAGAACCAUUAGUCAAGAAGGAUGUGUUAUAUGCCGCAGACUUCUACCCUAGUUGAUAGAUUGCUGUCUUUCACUGGCUUUUGGAUCAUUAACUCAAGGGCAAGGGUUUAGGAUCAGAGUAGCAAAUGGGUUAAGUCUAUGUGGCCAUUGUUUCCCCAAGCCCAUGACAGACACAGCUGAUCAAUUUUGGCACCUUCUCCCACCAAACGCAGUUGUGGUUGCAGUUAUUCUCAGGUUAUUAGAAUUGGCACAUGAAAUGAAACUGUUAUUCAUAAUAAUAUGACAUGAUUUUUUUCUACUGAUGUGUCCUAGAUUUUACCCAUAUUAAAUUAACUGAGAAAAAAAAGAUCAAAUUAUCUUAGAAGCAGAGUUAAUAUUUGCAGAGAUCCUUAGGUUCAGAUGAAGACAUAGGUUCUAUAAAUACAUUUACAACCUAUCCUAAUUUUAUCCAUGGAUGAGUUGGGGUGUGCAUCUGAAUCAGGGCCAACCUCUACGCUCUACUAGUAUAAGUGUGUAAUUAAGGUAAAGGGUUUGGAACAGGCCAGCCAGUCCUAAAAUUAGCUCUUGCUUUGAUGUUCCCCAGGUGCAAAUGCAUACAUCUCAGAUUCUUUCAUCCUUGAUUUCAUUGUCUAAGGCAUGUGCGUGGCCUUACCAAGGUUGCAGCAAGUUUGGUUCUGGCUCAGAUUAGGUAACAGGUUGUUUUUCUCAUAUUUUCUCAAAUAUGACAUAAGUCAUAUUUGAAGUAUCCAUUGGAGUUGCAGAAGCUUAGAUGCUUGUUUACCUAAAUAUUCUUUUAAGGAGAAGUCUUACAUUGCUUGUAUUUAGCUUGUGAUAGUCCAGCACAAGCUAUUUCAAGCUAUUUUUGGGCUGAUACAUUGGGGUUAUGUUGUAUUCCUUGGUAUCCUUUCUUUUAAGCGAAGGUAGGCAGUGCAAUGCAGGAAGGGGUUUGAAUCUUACUUGUCAAGAGAUACCAGUACAGCUACACAUUCCCCUCUGGCUCCUUUAGGAGGGAAGCCCUUGGACUCCCUGCAACCUUGGGCAAGUUAUGUAACUUGCUUGAGUAAAAUGGGGAUCAUAACAGUACCUGCCUCAUAGGGUUGUUAUGAGGAUUAAAUCAAAUGACAUAACAGAGAUGAGUAAAUCCACUGACACAUGAAGCUUAACAUGUAAGCAGUUACCCCAUAGAGAUGGCCUGCCCGGGCAGCAACUAGAAUGAAGCACUCACCUUAGUUGCAAAAUUUCUGGGGUGCCAAAAGCUCAACAAUCAAGGUAAAUAAUAACAAAUGCAAUACUUUUAAAUUAAUGCAAAAAUUUAUGACAAAUACUAAAAUUGAAAAUAAAUUCAGGAUCUGACCCUGCACAUGGAUGCCCCAGCCUCAUUCUCCCCAUCUGCAUCUGGCCCUGAUGGUUGUUCAGAUGUGCUCUCACCCAGGACCAAGGACUCGGCAGCUCUUUCAGGAAUGGUGAUCCGCUGUACUGACCCACUUUGCAGGUCAGUUCGUUUUGAGUCAUUAGCACAUACUUUCAAGAUGGACUCUCUAAAGCCAAGAGUGCAGCCAAAUCCUGAAAUAUUGCUGAGCUCAGUUUAUCAGAAGAGACUGACUUUGCAUCCUUGGUCUCAUAGCCUGGUGCUAGAAAUGUCUGGGGCUUCCCUUAUAGCUCAGUUGGUAAAGAAUCUGCCUGCAAUUCAGGCAGAUUCCUGGGUUUGAUUCUGGGGUUGGGAAGAUCCCCUGGAGAAGGAAAUGGCAACCCACUCCAGUAUUCUUGCCUGGGAAAUCCCAUGGACAGAGAAGCCUGGCAGGCUACAGUCCAUGGGGUUGAAAGAGUUGGAUAUGACUUAACAACUAAACCACCACCAGAAGCACCUGAAUGAUGGAGUCCCCAGACACUGGAGUAAUCAGUAUGUCCUAUUAUUGCAUAAAAUAUUCACUCAUAAAGAUCUCUUUAGGACCCCUCAUCUUCAAGUGUAUCAAUGCAGCUGUUCUUUAGAGAGUUGAAGCGUAAGUUCCAGUUCCUACUGCUGACCUGGUUUCUAAAAACAAAAUGAGCAACAGGGAGAGACAAGAUUCCGGAAGAGGCUUCAAUUGUUGCUCAUAUGUCUCUGAGUAUUUUAUGUAGUAAAACAGAGAUUCUGCCAUUCAGUUCCCUGAAGUGAAGAGAGCUAAGAGUUCUAUAAGCACGUCCCCAAAGAAGCUAAUCAGGGUUCCUUGGGGUUACUGGGCUACACUGCUUUGAGGAAAAAUAGCACAGCCCUGAAGAGUACAAACAGCUGAAACCGCACAUCCCAGUGAGCUUCCAGCCAAGAGCUCCUGAAGGAAACCGUAGUAAACUGCUAGGAAGGUUUUGUUGGAUGGCAUUUUGAUUAAGCAGCAGGCUCCUUAUUUCCCAGCCCUGGAAAUGUGAUCUCUUGAAGAUAGAAAUACUGUAGUCCACAUAGGAGUUAGAGGAGCAGCAAGGGCUUGUAGGCUGAGGUUGUGCAUUGUUUGAUAAAUUACUGUAAAAGAAAAUUGGACUGGAUUUUUAAUGUUCAAUUCUUAUUUAUUCAGAGAUCUUGAGAUCUCUGUAAGUUGACUGCGGCAAAAACAAUAAACAACAAAACAUGAAAACCCCCAAACCUGGCUGUUUUCUCUAAAACUCUUUUUUUCUGGAAUUAAAAAAAAAUGAGUGAGCUGAGUAGCUAUUUAGGCCCAUUGGAUGAAGAAAGAGAUGCUCUCUGGAUACUUAAAAUUGUUGCUCUGUGAUUGAAGAAAUUUAUAGCUGAGUCACCCAUAUUAUAUUAUUUCAGAUUGUACCUGGCAACAAAGAAGCUGAGUGCACUGGUGGAGGCUGGCAGUAUUUGGGGGGAUGGGGUGGGAGAUGAAUUAGCUCCCUUCUUCUAACCCUUUUCUUCCCAGCAUCCAGCAGUGAGUAGAACAGAGAAGGUCUCUGCUCUGACGGGAGGGCAGCAGGAUGUGAUGGUUAAGAGUAUGAAUUCUGGACCCACACACUUCUGGAUUUGAAUCCUAGUUUUAUCCCUGAGUAGCUGUGUGUCCUGGGCAAAGUAUUUAACCUCAGUAUGUUUGGUGUUCCCAUUUGUGAAAUGAGGAUGAAAGUAUUGGUUAGUUGCCAUAUGUGGUUGUUGAGAGAACUAAGGUACUUGGAACUAUGCCUGGCAACCUAAUGAAUUUUAUAUCCAACAUCAGCCUCAGUUUUUUAUCAACUGCUGUUAUUACAGAGCUUGUUGCCUUAAGUGUACCCACAUGCCAGGCACUAGACAUGUUAAUGAGUAAAUGCAGGUAAAAAUAACAGCUAAUGAUAAGAGAGAAUGGGAUAUGCAAUAUUAGUUUGAUUGGUUGGGGAGAGCUGUUCUGAGAAGUUGAUACUUGAGGCAGGACCUGGAUUCUAAGGAGUCUCCCUCGUGAUCAUCUAGGGGAAGAAGGAGCAACACCACCAAAGGCCCUGAGACAGAAAAGAACCUAGUGAGCUUGAGGAAGAGCUGCAAGACCAGUGUGACUCAAAGACGAGGUAGUGGCCACUUCACGUAGAGCUUUGUAGACCUUGGAGGUGAACUUGGAUUUUAUCGUAAGGGUAUUUGUAAGGUGGGUGUCCAAAUGAGCAGGGUCUUGACUUGGUUUUGGAAAAGCUACUCUGGAACCUGUACCUGAGUGUGCUCUUAGAAUGAAGUAAGUGAAGUUGCACACAGGUUGAAGGUGACCAUGACACUGGCAGUGAUGUUGACAACCUUUGAAGCAUGUCAUUGGAUGGAGGAGAGGUCCACAAGGGUUAGAGUCUAUGAUGACCUCUGGUCUCCUUUCCAAGGCUGAGAUGCUUAAUGCACAAAUUAAAUGGAAGGAAACCCAUGCUCUUUUAUAAAUAAGUAUUGAACAUCACUAAAGAGGGCCAAGGUUAACUGUUUUAAUUGACAUUUAGGUUUCCUGAAUUAGAAUUUGAAUGAUUGCUGGAGUGGUUUCCGUUUCUUAUUAACUUAAAGUAUUCAAAUGAUUUCUGCUUGAAAAUACCUGAAAGAGAUACCACAGAGAAUGAAGGUGUUUUUUUGAAAUGCCUUCUGCCUUUGUUGCUUCUGAACAAAGCAGGUGUGAAAGUGUGUGAUCUGAAUUAGGGCAGGUAAUAAAGCUUCUACCAAUUUAGUAUUACAACUUCUAAUGCCUUUUCGUGGUUUAACUGCCCUUUAAACUAAGUGUGUUUUGAUUGAUUCAUGUAUGUAAUUGAGUUUGAUUCAAAAGACUAACAGAAUCAAAUUCAAGAGUAAUUAACUCUAGAACAUGAUCAAAAGUGUUUUACCAUCACUAAACUUAGUGGUGAGAAAUGUCUUUUAUAUAUAUAUAUUUUAAAGCAUUGAAGUAUAUAGUUAGUUGAUUUUUGCGUUAGUUUCAGGUGUACAGCAAAGUGAUUCAGUCAUACAUACGUGCAAAUAUAUGUGUGUGUCUAUAUUUGUAUGUAUAUAUUUUCCAGAUUCUUUUCCAUUAUAGGUUAUUACAAGACACUGAAUUUCGUUCCCUUUGUUAUAUAACAGCAGUAGGUCUUUGUUGUUUAGCUGUUUUGUAUAUAGUAGUGUAUAUCUGUUAAUCUGAUACUUCUAAUUUAUCCCUCCACCACCUUUCCCCUUUGGUUACCAUACUUUAUUUUCUAUAUGUGUGAGUCUGUUUCUGUUUUGCAAAUAAGUUCAUUUGUAACAUUCCUUUUCAAUUCCACAUUUAAAUAAUAUCAUAUGUUAUUUGUCUUUCUCUCUCUGAGAGACCUGAAGAAAAUUUUAUCGUUACCUUGUGCAUGGCCUAUGUUUUAACCCCCCUUCUCACUUUGAAGAACAGUCAUAAACAAUAAUUUCCAUCAUUUGAAGGUGUUGGUGAUAAUUUGCUUUACUUAUGAAUAUCCUAUUACUCAGCAGCUUUUACAGAAUCAUCUAGGGUCAUAUACGGGCUGAACUGGGAGGGGCAGCAAGGGGUUACAACCCACAGAAGAAGGACGAUUGAGGUUACCAAAUGCUCCUGGCUUUUUUAGCAUUUGCAAUAGAACUUUGAUGUAUGUGUGUAUGUGCGCUCAGUUGCUCAGUUGCAUCUGAAUCUUUGCAGCCCUAUGGACUGUAGCCCACGGGCUCCUCUGUCCAUUGAAAUUUUCCUGGCAAGAAUACUGGAGUGGGCUGCCAUGUCCUCCUCCAGGGGAUCUUCCUGACCCAGGGACUGGACCCGCGUCUCUUGCAUCAGCAGGUCGAUUCUUUACCACUGUGCCACCUGGGAACUCCGGAAUACUGAUGAUAUAUUUGCAAAGGGCAGUUUUGAACAUACCAGAAUAGGAAGCAGCCAUAAAGAACUGUCCUUUGGGAGAGAGACCAUCUCCAUCAUUCAGCAGUAAAACUGAGUUCAGCCUGGCAUUUGUUUGUUCUUAAUUCCAGAUCCAGAGGGGGAAAAAAAGAUUUAAAGAACUUUAUAUUAAUGUAUGCUGGCCACUGCCACCAUCCUCUGGAAGCAUUUAAAAAGAGGAAGAAUGUGCCACAUAAGAGUAUGCAGGGGCUUGAUCCAGUCACGGAAGAAGAGCUCAAAAACAAGAGUCAACAUCGGUAUUUCCCUUUUUGGUUUUAUAACAUAAUAUGAAUGCUUUGUGUAAGCUUUUGCUACUGUACAAGAAGAAAUCUGCCUCUGAUGCUGUGUUACUUUGUCAGCGUCUGAGCUUGGCUCAGAGAUUUAGAAGAGUUGAUGAUUUCAAACUUUACAGCCUUUCGAGUGGCCCUCCAUGAUUCCAGGUAUUCACACCCCUGUGCAGGACUGGCCUGUGUGACCCCUAGCAGACUUGAUGGUGCAUCUUUAUAGAAGCCUGCCUUCUUUCCUCAGCACUUUUUCUCUUUCCCUCUCUCUUGGGAUCCCUCACUCUGGGGAAAAAUCCAUGUUGUGAGCAGCCGUGUGGAGAGGAACAUGCAAACAGACAUAUGCAUGAGCUUGGAAGAGUAUCUUCAGACCCAGUCAAGCUGCAGAUGACUGCAGUCCUAUUAAUGUUUGGACUCCAAGACUGUGAGAGAUCCUAACCCAGGACCACCCAACUGAGCCAUUUCUGGUUUCCUGACCCACAGAAACUGCGAGAUAAUAAAAUUUUAUUGUUUGAA